UGGGGAAUAUUGGACAAUGGGCGCAAGCCUGAUCCAGCCAUGCCGCGUGUCUGAAGAAGGCCUUCGGGUUGUAAAGGACUUUUGUCAGGGAAGAAAAGGGCGGGGUUAAUACCCCUGUCUGAUGACGGUACCUGAAGAAUAAGCACCGGCUAACUACGUGCCAGCAGCCGCGGUAAUACGUAGGGUGCGAGCGUUAAUCGGAAUUACUGGGCGUAAAGCGGGCGCAGACGGUUACUUAAGCAGGAUGUGAAAUCCCCGGGCUCAACCUGGGAACUGCGUUCUGAACUGCGUGACUAGAGUGUGUCAGAGGGAGGUAGAAUUCCACGUGUAGCAGUGAAAUGCGUAGAGAUGUGGAGGAAUACCGAUGGCGAAGGCAGCCUCCUGGGAUAACACUGACGUUCAUGCCCGAAAGCGUGGGUAGCAAACA
rnacentral:rRNA from 1 species